UCAACUUAUAUUAUUUAAUUACUCGACUAUUUUAUACGGGUUGGGCUUUUAAUUCUCUCCUUACCUGACUAACUAAUACAACUCACACACCCCGGUUUAGAUAAUACACUCUUAAUUAUACGGCUAGAGAAAAAGAACACGCGUUCUACGAAAAAAAUCAGACGCUCUUGUCAUCUUCUUCUCCCUAGGGUUCUUCUCUGCUAUC
rnacentral:lncRNA from 1 species